AGGAGGAACAGCCCCAGUGGCUGCAGCAGCUCUGGAAACCUGGAUUCAGCUCCCGCAGGAACUACUCCAUCUGCAGGGCCUGGAGGCUCCGGGGCGGG
rnacentral:pre_miRNA from 1 species